rnacentral:lncRNA from 1 species
AGAAAAAGAAUGUCUUUUGAGACAAAGAACUCUGAGACGUGCCCACACUACAGGAAGUGGAAGUUUGAGAAGUAUGUGGAUAUAUACCCUGGGAAGCAUCCAGAGGCUUAGCCAAGAGCUGAAAGAUCUGGGGAAUUCUAGCCGGGCAAUAAGUAAAUCAGAAGCAAUACCGUUCUUGGAGGGAUUGCAAAGAUUAGUGCCCUGUCAGACUUGAAAUUUUGUAUUGGUGGUGAUGCCAGCCAUAUCCCUUUCCUGCUCACAUAUUUUCAUCUAGAGAACACGAGUGGGUCCUGGACAAUGACACUGAAAUCUCAAACUCAAUUAUAUGGUAAUUCCACUUAUAUUUCUAUCAAUAAUUUGCUAACAAUGGAUCUAGAAAAACUUCUUUUUUUUUUAAUCCUAUGCAUGUUGAAAAGAAAAAUAGAUGGGUUUUACUUUUGAUCAGAAGGACUAGAAAUAAGCUUCUGUGUUGUCACUUAGGUCACAGUAGCCUCCAUGUUCACUUUCCCCUCCCACAGAAUCCCAUACUUACCCAUUAACAUGGAUGGUAAUAGGCAGGAAGUGGUGAAAUGGGAAGAAAGUGAGGGAUAUCCUUGAGUUCAACAGAGGCUGUUUCAUCUCAAGCAUUCAUGGCUUGGGGCUAAAAUUCUGGAAAAACAACAUCCACCAAGGCCUCCCCAGGCCAAUAGUUUCCAGAAUGGAUUUCACAGACAACUUUAGGGUGAGGAUUAGAAAGGACUUUUUUUUUUUAAUAGAAGACAGCUCAAGACAAAGGAAGCAAGCAGCACUCCUUGAUAGCAGGAGGGGAAUCCCAAGAAAACUUGCCACUGAGGUCUUUGUUAGUAAGGCUUUACAGGAUUGAGGCAUAGGGAGGUCAACUGAUCAGGGCAAUCGACCUACCCAUACUUGUUCAUAUGCUUCUCCAUUCUGGUGGGUGGACUGGAGUUUUGAGCACACCUUCAGGACCAACAGCUUCCAGGCAGCUCAGUUCCUUAGGUUGCUAUUCGUCUUAGUUUUAUUCCCUGUUGCUGUGAUAAAAUACCUUGCCAAAAGAAAUGUAGGGGGAAAAGUUAAUUUGGACCCAAAACUCUGAGUUACACUCCAUCAUUGCAGGAUAGUCAAGGCAAUGGGAACCAGAAGCAACUAGUUACAUCCAGUUAAGAGGAGAGAGAAUAAUGUGCAUUUAUUUCCCUGUGCUCGGCUCACUUUCUCCAUUUCAUAUAAUUAGUCCAUGACACAAAAUUAGGGACAGUGUUGCCCACAUUUAGGCUGUAUCUUUUCCCAUGAUCUAGCCUAAUAAAUACAUUCUCCACCAUACUUUGUAUGACCUAAAAUAGGCCCUCACUGAGACUCCUCCCCAGGUGAUUCUAGAUUGUGUCAUCUUGACACAAUGAGCAGUCACAUUAUAUAAAAGGAAGAAAAAGGUAAGAAACCAGAACAUGAGCCAAGAUCCCUAAACAUUUUGGACACUCCUGGCCUCCAGCCAGGACAAGAACUACUGCUAGAAGAGUCCCAGCUUCUGGCUUCUGGUUGCCAAGAACAAGAAGCAGAGCCGCCCUUUUCAGGUCCCCUCACCAAACUGUCUGACCAGUUUCUUCCUCCUGCUUUUGUCAGUAGCAAUCACUCUGGACCUGUUGGUAAUGCUUCAGUGUCAUGGGUAUGGAAUAUCUCCCCCAAAUUCUAUUUCAGUGAAAUUUUAGGAUGUCAGGAUGUCACUUCUAAGAUGAAAGAUAAGUUGUUGUAUCUGGCCCUUCCUUCAGAAAGUAGGGCAUGUGCCCAGUGGGAGAAGAGAAAACUCUUCAGCAGGUCCAGACUAGCAAGCAGAUCACUGUGCCAUUCAGGCCACAUGAGCUUGCAAAUCCAGUUGUUCUUGACGUGGGACUGGCAGAUUUAGAUACCGUUUCAUCUUUGGCAGGCACACAGAGGUGAAUCACAAUACAAACUCAUAGAUUGGAAUAACACCCUGCUUUCUUUGUGGAAAACUGCUCUGUCUUUAGUUUGUUGCUGGAUGUUGGUCAGAACUGAACACUUAGAUACCACUUGACUAUGUGGCCUGAACUCGGUGCCAAAUCAUGUUGCCAGUAAAUAGUGUAGGUAUGAUCUGACUGCAUUUCUGUGGUGUUCUUCCCCAAGCCCACAGUCCCAGAAUAAUGGGGGCUGGAGUGGGGGGUGGCAUUCAGAGAACAGUUAGAAGAAGGGCCUCCUAUAAGUUACCUGACCAAGCUGGAGAGAUGGCUCAGCUGUUAAAAACCCUUGCUGUUCUUGCAGAAGCCCUGGGUUUGAUUCCCAGCACCUACCACGCAGGCUCACAACAACCUGUGACUCUGAUUCCAAAGAUGAAAAGCCCUCUUCGGACUUCCUCAGACACUACACACACAUAAUACACAUACAUACGCACAGACAGACACAUACACAUAAAAAUAAGAUAAAUACAUCUUAACAAAAGAAAACAAUUCUUCAGAACUGUCAAGAUCUUCAAAAGGAAACUAUUUGAGAGACCAUUAUAGCCAGAGGCAGUCCAAGGGCGCAGCAACUAAAUAUGCAAUGGUGGAAUCCCUUUAACACAAAAAGACAUUUUAGUUAUACAAGGAAAGUCUGAAUAAACAAUGGACUUUAUAAUAUUGGUUCAUUAACGAUUGCAAACAUACCAUGCUAAACAUGAACACUUUAGUAUUAGAACAAACUGGAUAGGAAGCAUGUGAGAACUCUGUCUGAAAUACAUUUUUUGUAAAUAAAUUGCUCUAAAAUUGAUUGUAUUUUUAAAAUUUUAACUUGUAUUUAUUGUGUGUGUGCAUAUAUAAUAUGUAUAGGGAUAAACAUGCAUGGAGAGAUAAAAGGAAAACUUAAUGGAGUCCAUUCUCUCAACUUUUCUGUGGAUCCCAAGGGACCAAACUCAAGUCUGCAGGCUUAUGUGACAGGCAUCUUGAUUAACCACUGAGGUAUCUUGUUGAGCCAAGUCUGUUGUAUUUUUCAAGAAUCAAAUCUGAAUCACCAUGUCACGAUAUUUUAAACCCAAAACUUUCCAAAAUAGUAAAACAUACCCACUUGUAGUGUUCUUGCAUGCCUCAUUUAAAUUUCUUCUUUAAUUUUGGCUUUUUGGGACAGGAUUUUUUGGACCCCAAUCUGGAUUCAAACUCACAGUGUAGCUCAAGGGUGACCUGGGAGUGAAUGUCCUGCCUCCCCUUGCCAAGUGCGAGGACUACAGGUGUUUGCCAAGACACCAUCUCAGAACUUAAACAUCA